UACGGGGGGGGGCAAGCGUUGUUCGGAAUUACUGGGCGUAAAGGGCUCGUAGGCGGCCAACUAAGUCAGACGUGAAAUCCCUCGGCUUAACCGGGGAACUGCGUCUGAUACUGGAUGGCUUGAGGUUGGGAGAGGGAUGCGGAAUUCCAGGUGUAGCGGUGAAAUGCGUAGAUAUCUGGAGGAACACCGGUGGCGAAGGCGGCAUCCUG
rnacentral:rRNA from 1 species